AUUACGACUGCCGUGUGACGUCAUACCUCCGCUGGGGGACGCCGUGGCGGUCAUCCUGUGGUACAGAGACAAAACUCCCACAGCGAUUUAUACGUACGAUGCUCGAAAUGAAUCGCUGGGGUUCCAGCAACACACACCUCGGGGUCCAGACCUCGCUUCCAGAGCCUCUUUUUACCACAAGCCUCCAGCUGCGUUAACCAUUACUGGAGCUCUGCCUGAAGACUCUGGAAUAUAUCAGUGCCGCGUUGACUUCACUCAGGCUCCGUCCAGGACAACAAAAAUUCAGGCUGUGGUGGUGACGGAGAUCAAGGACAUAGAGGUGGUGCGGGCCAGCCCGCCCGUGGGCAGCACGAGUCCCUCUCUGAUGGACCGCACG
rnacentral:lncRNA from 1 species